GCCGGACUCUGCAUGAGUCACCGCCUGCCUGCAAGCCCAGAGCUCGCCGCACCCCCCUGCCUCUCCGCACCGUCCCACAGGCUGUGACCCUCCACCCAGCCAUAGACGGUUCUGCUCUUGGCACAAAGGAGGGCUUCUUAGCCGGGAAUAUGGCUGCCCGGGAGGGGCGACUUCUGUGCUUGUUUUUCCUUCCUGGCACUGAAAACAAGCACAUCCACCCAACAAAUAAAGACGCGGUCAAUGAAAGCAGCUGUGUUUCAAGGGGAGACAGGGAGCAAGCCAAGGAAUAAAUGAAAAGACCCAGUGACAAAAUGCCCAUUCAUCGGGUUCACUCGGCAAACAUUUACUGAAGCAUCUGUGUGCCAGGCACUGUCCUGAGUGCUGGGAAGACACAAAGAUGCCCUUCAGAACGAUGACCCCCGCCUCGCCCUCCGCUGGAACCGGGAGGCAGACACACACAUAAAUACGACACAGUCAACCGUCCCCAGUUCACAGCAUCUAAAGGAGCUAGGAAUGCAUGGGAUGCUUAUGGAAUGUGCGAGAACACGGACUUCAUGGCUGAGACAGAGCUGAGAGCAGAGAAAACAGACUCAUAAAAUCCUGGCAGAAUCUUUCCAUUCUAAUAGCUCAAGCUUCCCCUAUUGCACAGAAGAAAUGCAAGCCUCUUCCCUUCUGGAAUCGCACCAUGGGCAGUACUCCAGAGAGUGGAAACUCUCUGACACCAAACAAGGGACAAUUCAAGAAUAAAUGGCACCUGAGUCCCAGGAGGGCAAAGCAGAGUGAGAAAAGAAUUAGUGAGUGAUGUGGAAAGGACAACAUCCUUUCAUCCCAGAGUCAAAGCCCCGGCAAGCCUCCAGGCCUCAGCGCUCCCUCUGUCUUACAGCACAAAAACACCUUUUGUGGAUGGGAAAGGACUCAGGACGUGAUCAGACUGGCCUGCUGAGAGUAUCAUAGGGAAGUGCUGGAUGGGUUCAUGGAAAGAAGUAUACACAGAUGAGGAACAGCAGAAAGGCAUGAGAAAAGAGGAAGGUAUGGAAAAGAGUGAAAUUGGCAUAAAAAAUCCAAUAAAGGGCAACGAGCAGGAAACAACAAAAACAUGGGAAACUGCCGACCUGAGGAAUCGCGCUCUUCUAACUUUACAGCUUCACCUGCCGUGUUUGCUCCUGGAGGACUGAGACUUUUGUCUGAUUCGUCUGCUGCUGUCUUCCCGAUGCCUAGAACACUGCCUGAUGCACGGGAAGUAUUUGUCAGAUACAUCCCAUGGCUUCUAAUGCCAUUUGCAAGGAUGAAAGCUGGGUGUGCCCGGCUGUACGGCAAUACUUCCAAAGGCCUGUAGGACUCCCCAGUGACUGUCCCAUUCACCAGGAGGAGGACUGCAGUCACCUGCAUUGUCCUGGGAAGGUCAGCCAGGCCUUUUCCCAAUGUCUGUCUGGGAAAAGCCCCGGUGUAGUCUGCUCGGUCCUACACCCAGAAUCACGGGGGCUUCAGGAGCAGGCAUUACGAGGCAAGGAGUAGCUUCUCCCCCUCACCUCCCACUCAGCAGAACGCACUAGCCCUGUGCUCUUCUGAUCCUGAAGGCAGCUGAGUCUGAAAAGUUCCUGUACCUUUAAAGGUACUAGAGGCAGUGUGGUGCCCACUCAGGAACUGCAUGAUUUAAAUAGGUUUCUAGGAUAAAGGCAACUCGUAGCACAAAGGAACAAGUCCCAGGGAGUGGCAUUCCAGAUCAUUUGAUUCCUGAGCGAAGGAAUUAUUAUGGUGUGGAGGUGGGGACCUCCUUACUACAUUCCAAAUUGCAAUAAGGUUGUAAGGGUUUUCUCUUCCAUUCUGAAGUACUUUGACAAUAGUUUUGAACUUCAAAAAUGUUUAUUAAAGGUGUUUUCACAGCAGUUUCAUAAUGUUUAAUUUGUUAAUUACUGGAAUUGAUGCUAAAUAAAACAGGCAAGUAAUACUUCAGAUGGCUUCAUCUUCAGAGUCUUCUUCAUGUGUGACUCAAAAUGCACAAUUUUGGCCGGGCACAGUGGCUCACGCCUGUAAUCCCAGCACUUUGGGAGGCUGAGACAGGCGGAUCACCUGAGGUCAGGAGUUUGAGACCAGUUUGGCCAACAUGGUGAAACCCCAUCUCUACUAAAAAUACAAAAAUUAGAUGGGCAUGGUGGUGUGUGCCUGUAAUCCCAGCUGCUUGGGAAGCUGAGGCAGGAGAAUUGAUUGAACCCAAGAGGCGGGGCUUGCAGUGAGCCGAGAUCCCGCUCCAGCCUGGGCAACAAGAGCGAGACUCCGUCUCAAAAAAAGAAAAAAAAAGCACAAUUUCAGGACAGCCUAAGCAAAUAAAAAAUGGGAAAUGGAAAUGGAUUCGAAGCAGGGAGGACGUUCCGCCCACUGUCACACCGAAGGAAUGGUGGAGGCUGUGAGUCCUCCGCCCACUGUCACACCGAAGGAUGGUGGAGGCUGUGAGUCCUCCUGUAAGCCGCCGCUGGAGAAGGGGCAGCUCUGGAACCUGACGACAUUCUCCUAUCUUGCAUGAGGUGGAGACAAAGAGUCCUUCUGCGCUGGGACAGGAUGAGGGCGAAGUGGUGACUUCAGGUCAGAAGCAGAGCCUUGGGGACCUCUGAUUCUCAAGGGCGAGCUCCCUCCAGAACCCCAAGAGAUGGCCCUGACUGCAUGGGAAAGCGUGUCUCACCAUUGCAAUGUUCUCUAAGUCUGGAGGAGGCGGAGCCCAGUGAGAAUGACAGGCAGACCGCAAGGAGGCCCGGAAGCCCCCCAUGGCGAGGAUGCAUCCAAGUGUAUUCUGUAGGAGUGACCAGUGGCCACGUGGGUAGUGGGCAGAGCUUGUUUUCCUCCAAUAUCAGCGUACAGAGCAGGGGAGCCUGGUGAAGGUUUCUCUCUGAAAUCAUGGAUUCAGCUGUAUUAGUUUCUAUCCAAGGCUGGCAUAGCUCACCUUCCACUCCAGCAAUGACCUCGGGCCAGCUGUCACGAGCCUUCUCACCACGAGGAUGGUCUGGGGUGGUGAGAUCUCACUGUUGGCCAUAAUUCAUUCAACAUUUCUUCACUUCUCUGCUUAAUUUUGGUCGAAUGUCAUGC
rnacentral:lncRNA from 10 species